GACAGAGGAUGCAAGCGUUAUCCGGAAUGAUUGGGCGUAAAGCGUCUGUAGGUGGCUUUUUAAGUCCGCCGUCAAAUCCCAGGGCUCAACCCUGGACAGGCGGUGGAAACUACCAAGCUGGAGUACGGUAGGGGCAGAGGGAAUUUCCGGUGGAGCGGUGGAAUGCGUAGAGAUUCGGAAGAACACCCAUGGCGAAGGCAGCACUCUGGGCUUGAACCGCAAGGUGAACCUGACACUGAGGUACGAAAGCCAGGGGAGCGAACGGG
rnacentral:rRNA from 1 species